ACUCCACAUGGUUUGAACUUGGGUAUGCAUUUCUUUGUAGGUGAGGACAGACGAGACAGGUUUCUCUAGAAGCUAGGCAGGUGGGCACACCAGGACAGAAUCUGCAACAGAGGGUGACAGAAAAGGUGGAAAGGUGGGCCUACCUAUGCCUUCACCUACAAAUUGAACUGCUUUUUUCUUGGCUUACCAAGGACCAUCUGUGGGGAUUAUUCUCUGCCAGAUUGUCGCUUCCACCAUGGUGAACAGUCUCAAGAGCAUGGAGGAGAUUUCAGGAGACAGACACUCACUCUAGGAGAGCUGGACAGUGCUGUAGAAGGUCUUUAACCCAUUGGCAGGACCAGUAUCGGCUCCUUUGUGCAAGGAACAACAGGAUGAGCACUGCCAGAGCCCUACAAAAUGCCCUCCAGCAGGCCACUAGUAUGCCACUGACCAAACAAUCAGAAAGACUUCAUGAGGGUGGCCCGAUGUCCUUUAGUGGGCCCUGUGCUCACUGCCUGGCACUGUGGAGCCUGACUGUAUAAAGUAUAAACAGUAUAGUUCCUGG